UUGCUCAAUACUAUAAGUGGUGGAAGUGAUAUUCAAACCCAGAUUCAGCCUAAGACAGCUCUCCAAAUAGCUGUAAUUUAUUGCCUCAUUUGUGCAAUUGAUCUUUGGAUCUAAGGAUAGGACUUUACAUUGAUCCCUCUUAUGCUGUGGGAGUCAGUGUGUCAAAGUAACUUUGACUGGGCUUGUCAGUCACGUAGGUAACUCUACAUACUAGAUUUUCAUCAUUGAAAAAUUUUGUAUAAAUAAAAAUAAAUGCCAUUAAAUUAACACAACAGUGAAGCACUCAACAGUUGACAUAGCACUUUGAUAUAUAGUUAUUGACAACUCCUCUUUUUUCACACCUUGUGCUAAGUUAUCACUUCGUCUUUGGCAGCUGAAAGAAAUAAGAUACUUAAGUAUAGCCAUAGGUUGUUACAAUUGCUACAAUUUGAAUUCACUCUGUUCUAUGCUCAACUGCAUUGUUACUGUCUACCUCGAUCUGACCAAAUUGCAAGCAUUGCCCCUUUCCACUUCCAGUGCAUUAGGAAAACUUAAAGGAAGCCCCUGUAUCAGGUCACUCUGAUUGAUAAAUCUAAGUACUGGCAGCCAGCCUGCAGAUGUAACAAACAGCAUGCAUGCAUCUAGAAGGUCACGAUAUGUAAACAGAAUGUAGAGGAGGGGUCAGCCCAUAAAAGGGAAGAAAGUUUCGUUAUUGGGAAAUCAAAGCUUAAGCAGGAAGGGGACCAGGGUAUAACCUUAUAAGGGGGAUGAUUAAACUUAGGCGACGUCCAGGAAGAUUGUGUGAAGCAAUGUAAUAACCAUUUAAAAUGAUUGUAACUAUACUUUAUAAGAGUAUGAUGAAACAGGCACUAAAUGAGGGUGAAAUCCUCUGAUAACUGGAAGAUGCUGGAUGUUCUGGAAAGAAAAGUAAUUUUUUUUUCAAUCUCUGGAAAUUGCUUUUUUUGUUUUAAGUAAGGGUGGUACAUGCAAUAGGAGCAGGUACUUUGCCUGUUAAUCCCCCUCUUUUACUCUCAGUGCCUACAGCAAUACCUGGCUCAUGGAUAAAAUUUAUACAAUUUUAAAAUGAAUGAAUAAAUGCAUAAUAAAAUUGAAAUUGGCAUUUCCCCAACUUUUACCCCCUUCUGGAUAGAG
rnacentral:lncRNA from 10 species